GAGCUCAGAACGAACGCUGGCGGCACGCCUAACACAUGCAAGUCGAGCGAGACCUUCGGGUCUAGCGGCGGACGGGUUAGUAACGCGUGGGAACGUACCUUUUGCUUCGGAAUAGCCUCGGGAAACUGGGAGUAAUACCGAAUGUGCCCUUUGGGGGAAAGAUUUAUCGGCAAAAGAUCGGCCCGCGUCUGAUUAGAUAGUUGGUGGGGUAAUGGCCUACCAAGUCUGCGAUCAGUAGCUGGUUUGAGAGGAUGAUCAGCAACACUGGGACUGAGACACGGCCCAGACUCCUACGGGAGGCAGCAGUGGGGAAUCUUAGACAAUGGGCGCAAGCCUGAUCUAGCGAUGCCGCGUGAGUGACGAAGGCCUUAGGGUCGUAAAGCUCUUUCGCCAGGGAUGAUAAUG
rnacentral:rRNA from 1 species